rnacentral:rRNA from 1 species
GAUGAACGCUGGCGGCGUGCCUAAUACAUGCAAGUCGAGCGAAUGGAUUGAGAGCUUGCUCUUAUGAAGUUAGCGGCGGACGGGUGAGUAACACGUGGGUAACCUGCCCAUAAGACUGGGAUAACUCCGGGGAACCGGGGCUAAUACCGGAUAACAUUUUGAACCGCAUGGUUCGAAAUUGAAAGGCGGCUUCGGCUGUCGCUUAUGGAUGGACCCGCGUCGCAUUAGCUAGUUGGUGAGGUAACGGCUCACCAAGGCAACGAUGCGUAGCCGACCUGAGAGGGUGAUCGGCCACACUGGGACUGAGACACGGCCCAGACUCCUACGGGAGGCAGCAGUAGGGAAUCUUCCGCAAUGGACGAAAGUCUGACGGAGCAACGCCGCGUGAGUGAUGAAGGCUUUCGGGUCGUAAAACUCUGUUGUUAGGGAAGAACAAGUGCUAGUUGAAUAAGCUGGCACCUUGACGGUACCUAACCAGAAAGCCACGGCUAACUACGUGCCAGCCGCCGCCGUAA